AAUCGCUUAGCAGCUAGCAACUUAGCUAGUGGGAGUAAUGAUGCUAGCAGCUCGGCUAACGUAAAUGAAUUGUGAUGGAGGCACCUGUUGGACAAGAUGCUUCAAGUCAGAUAUCGCCGUUUGGGACCGGAAAUGCCUCUUCAAAUCAAGCCGCCUCCAGGAGUAAAACCCAACUCUCCUCAGGGCUGCGCAUCAGGGUGAUGUUGAUGUCAUCAACUACAGAUCGAACACAAUGUCGGGAGCAACAUGAAACGGCCAUGGCAACAAGUUACCUUUCACCCUCCACUCUGCUUUCUAAGCACAUGUCACAGCAGGCGAGAGUUCAUGGAUGCACAGAACAGAGCGGUUGUUCCACUCAAGUCUUAAUGAGAAGAGUUGAAGAGAGAGCCGGAUGUUGUUUUCUGAUGCCAGUGAAUAUUUUUCUCCACUUUGCCAGGAUUACAUUGAAAGUAGCAUAACGGCAGAAUAUUCUGUUAAAACAAUCUGAAGAAUUCAAUGAUGCGUUGCUUGAUAGUCUGCAGUAUAUGAACGGAAAAAGUAGAAUAUUUCUGUUGAACAGCCAAAUCCGAUUUGAGUGGAAAAAUUGUCAGCUGGUAUAGUCCUAAUGUUUACAAUGGAGAGAUUGGGAACAAUUCUCCUAAGUAAGUUUGGCUAACCUGGGGCUUUUGUGUAUAACCUGUCAGGUCAUCUGAGUGUUUGUGUUUAUUUCCCCAUUGUAUUAGUGGUGUUGCUGAGCUCACAGACCUCCACGAGUAACUUGGUGAAUACUUUAUUAGUACUGUUAGAAAUGAUGGACACAUAUAUGAAAAUGGGACUCAAUUUGUAAUAAACUGUAAUUAAAUGCA